AUCCAGCUGACGAGUCCCAAAUAGGAUGAAAUUGGCAUCCUGGAU
rfam:Schistosoma rodhaini strain Burundi genome assembly, scaffold: SROB_scaffold0013140